rnacentral:tmRNA from 20 species
GGGGGUGUAUAGGUUUCGACUUGGGAAUGAAGUGUUAAUCGCAUGCGGAGGGCGUUGGCUGGCCUCCUAAAAAGCCGACAAAACAAUAAAUGCCGAACCUAAGGCUGAAUGCGAAAUUAUCAGUUUCUCUGAACUCUCUGAGCAAAGAUUAGCUGCUUAAUUAGCAAAAGUUGUUAUUUAGAUAACCUCUAGAUAACCCGGUCCUCAUGGACUCUACCAGAGGUUUGUGAAGUACCGUCAUCUAUCUGGUUGGAAUCUACCUCCUCUAAUUCUCAGGGGGGUUGAUUCGAGAUUAUUGAGAGUCGUUGGUUUCCAUAGAUGUUCUUAGCUGAGGAAAUGCAAUGUAGUACCACUAGGGACUAAGCAUGUAGAAGUUAGCAGGGAAUUCACUAAGGACGAGAGUUCGAGUCUCUCCACCUCCACCA